AUUUAACGAGUUCAAAACAGGACGAAAGGCGCGUCCUAAAU
rnacentral:hammerhead_ribozyme from 1 species